CACAUACACAGCACUGAACCCCAUGAAUACAUCCCCGGAUUAUGACACUCUGCAAAAUGUUAAUUGCUCUGCCAGUGACACUUACACAACCCUGAACCCUGCAACCGUGUCCUCUGAUUAUGACACACUGACAGGUGUGGCUACUCGACUCAGUGAGGAGAAGUUCUCCAGAACUGCAGAAUGAGAACUAACGGUUGACUUUGGUUAGUAACGGCUCAGGAAGGAUGCUCAGGGUGAGAGUUUUAGGAUUAGAGUUGAGGAUUAGAGUUAAACAGCAUCAAGACGUCACAACAAACUCAUUUCUGUCUUAAUUAAGUGUCAUUCGUUUAUGUUAUUCAAGCAGCUCCUUUAGUUUCUCAGUUGUCUUUUCACACUUUUAAUGUAUUACACACACACAUACACAUAUAGUGUGUGUAGCGUCCUGGGACCAUCCUUCACAUUUUCUACUAUAUCUAUCUCUCCAGCUUUUUCUCAUCAUCGCCUCUUCACUCGCUUGAUCUCUGUUCACGCUGACAUCAGUGGGGAAAUAAUCACUGAUUCAUUCCAUCAGCUCUGAUCUGUCGGUUAAAUUUCUUGUUACUGUCUUACAACUUUGUUC
ensembl:lncRNA